rnacentral:lncRNA from 1 species
UUUAUUUUGAGUUUUUGGCUGUUUGGUUCCCGAUGAAACUUGAAAAAAAGAAAUGGGAGUUCUGUAUUUGGGAAAAUGAGAGUAAGUCUGGGCUUGCAUGCAUAAUUGUGUGGGUUACUUGCGUUAGAAUUAUAGGUGAAGGUUUGUUGAAGCAGUUCUUGAGAUUUUGUCAACAACUGAAAAAUAAAAAGGAAAAAGAAAGAAAGAAAGAAAGAAAGAAAGAAAAAGAUACAUAAUGUGGGGUGGUGAAAAUAAGAAUUCUUGACUUUUUGAAGAAAGAAAAAUAGAAGUGAUGCUUACAAAUUUUUUCAGUCUGUCAUAAAAUAGGUCAGUGUUAGAAAGUAUUAAAAAUAUUUUAAAAAUUCAUGCACUCUUAUCGGUUUUAAGUGAUCCAAAAAUUGAACAAUUUCAUUGUUGAAAAUGAAAAGCUUUAUGAAAAAACCCAUUUUUAUUUCCACUACCAACAAGUCAUUUGGUUUCGGUGUAGUGACAGUGGGUGAUCCAUCAGUGUCAUUGUCUUGUUGGCAUCGAGGUAUUAGGCAACACAUGCUCAUAAAAGGGGUUUCGACACUUCACAAUGUGCUUAGAAAGUGCCGGGAACUAUUUACCGUUUCAUCUUAAACUUUUUGUGGGAAGUGGGAACUACCAGUAUAUAUUACUUAGUUUUAAUAGGUGGCAUUUAGUUUUGUAAGUGUAUCUUGACUGUCUAGAAAAUGGCAGAAAAGGUUUGUUUCCCUAACAAGGAAAUAUAACUCACCACCUGCCCACCACCCAGUCCCUAAUCUCUUUGUGGAUGGUUUAGGGUUCAAAUCCCAAUGGGGACAAAAAUUUGCCUAUAAAAAAAUUCUUAGGUGCUUAUAUCUGCUUCACUCAAUAGAGUAACAGAUAAAUUGAUUUGAUGGGGCUGGCUGUUCAACCUAAAUGGUUCCCAUUUAAUUGAUAGAUCUGCUGUGGUUAUUCCAAAUAUUAUAUGAUGCCAUUGAUAUUGCACUUAUAUAACCAACCUUGCUCCAAACCACAACAUUUCUCAUCAACUCAAAUUCAAUCUUAACUACCAAUUUAAAUGAUUUUUCAUAUCCAUUUGUAGUGGUCAGUCCAACAAUCUUCUAGGUGUAGUUUGUUUUUUGUUUCCUUUUUCGUACUUUGGAGCCCUAACUUUACAUUUGAUUUACAUACCAAUUGAUCUAGAGAGAUACCAAUCUUACAUUAUAAAAAUAGAGUACAAUUCCAACCCUCAUAUAUGGAGUAUUCUUCUAGUUUUGAAUAAGGAAGAUUUCCAAUGAACAAAUAUAUGGAAAAAUGAAUUGUGCUAAUGAAAUGUUAGGGUCUUUUAAAUGACAUAAAUUUCUCUGUGUGACUCUGAAUUGGUGACUACAUUUUUAGAUGCAGAAUCUCAUGAAGGAAACAAAAAUGAUUUCUAGGUUGACUUAUAAUGAUGGUCUUAUUGUAUUACUUUUAAGGAUACAAAUACAAACUCAUGAUUUUAUUACUCACACAACAUAGAUUCAUGAUUUUACUAUGCACAAAACAUAUUUUUUUGUUCUAUAAUUAUUCAAGCUUCAUUUUAUUCUUCAUUGAUUCUCCCACCCUCAGAGAUUCAAAAAUGAAUGAACUAAGACCAAUUGUAGAGGAAUCAAAUCUUCUAGAUGAAGAGCGAAAGCUGUUGGAAGAUAGAAUUUCCCAGGUAUCUCUCCUGAAAAAAGAACAGAGAAAUACUUUGAAUGCAAGCAUUAGUUUUUAUCAAAUAUUCAUUUUGAAGUUAUGCAUAUGCCUUGCAGUUGGAUGCAGAGAUUACAGACUACAAUGAAGCGAGAGAAAGAGCGAUGCCUCUUGUUCAAGAGAUAGAGGUAAAGGUUAAAGAUUUGCGUCAGGCCAUUCCAAGCCUCAACAAUCAGCAGAUGUCAUUGAGAACAUCUUUCCGAAAAAUGAAGGAGAAGGUUGCAGAAAUGGAUGAGAAGGUCAGGUUUUGACACAUAGCACUUAUUAUUUCUCUUUGACUCAAUUGAAUAAGCUCCAAUUAAAGAUUAUAGAUUUUACGUCUCAUCUCAAAUUUGUAAUUUCCUUAAGGUAUAGAGUUCUCCUUUUUUAUCAUUUACCAAAAUUUUAUCAGCAUCAUCAUUUGUGAAGUUUCGUGUCUACUUUCACAACAUUUGGAAGUUUCUUCCUGUUGUGAUAUCCGUUGCUUAAUUUUUGGAGGCCACUUUUUUGCGUUCACAGACUAUUAUCAUAUAUCAACUCAGUGAACAAAUUGUGUAUUCAAUUCAGUUUUUUUUGGGGCUUUUCUCUUGUGCAUUUCAACUAUGAUGUUCUUUUAGAAGGGUGCUAUUACCAUGUUUUUGCUUAAAAUUUCUUUGCUAGGUUCACCCUGAAGUUCAGUUAUUGGUUUUCUUUCUUUCUUUUUUUUUAAAUUGAACCAUUUACUGUUGUUAUUAUAUUUCUCUUUUGUUUUUCCUUUUGCUCAGAUUUCUAGUGCGGAGUUUGCCCUUGUACAAAGUGUCCAAGAAAAUGCCAAUCUACGUUCGAAAAUUGUACAAUCACCAGAUAAACUACAGGUUCUCUUGAUUUCACUAAAUUUAUUUAGAAAGUUAUAACAUACAAAUUUGUAUUAUACUAUUGUUAAUUCACUGCUGUUGGUUGUAUGAUAUCCUUAUAUAAGGUUCGUGAACUUUUGUAUUUGAGGUAUUUUCAGCUACAAGUUAAAGAUGAUCUCCAACAUGCAUGUGUAAAUAAAAAAAAUACAAUGCCUUGCACGACUAUAUCACUAACCUUUACUGUGUUAUUGAGAAUGUUGUACAAUGUAAUGCUAAAACUGGGGAUAAAACUUAGGUAUACAAAGGAUAAUUUUGCAAUGUCCCUUAGCGAAAUAUGUUAAAUGUAUAUAUUAUCUAGUUCCUAUUAAUUAACCUUUUAUGUAUGAUUUUUUAGGAGCUUAAGAGCCCAUGUCCUAUGAUGUUGCCAUAUCAAGUGGAGAAUCUACUAUCUAUUGCAACAAUAGACAAAAGUAAGAGAAGGAGAACAUGGAAAAAGUUAAUGCAAUUCAUGUUACUAAAUAAAAACAGAUGUAGGAAUAAAAUAUUGAUAAAUCUUUUAUGAAAUGUUCUUAAUCCUCCCAAUCCAAAAUUAGUAGCAAAUAAUCCUAAUUGUAGUAAGCUUAAUUAUCUAAAACUAAAUGGAAAAUUUAAAGAGGAUAAAUAGUGUAAAAGAUGAAAAACUAAAAAAUAGAAAUCAAAAAAUUAAGAGGAAUACUAGAAAACAAUAAAUUUUUUAAGGACAUUGUGGACUUGCUUGGGGUCUACAGACAUGCUGCAGGGAUUCCUGCUGCUGCCAAAACUCUUAAUGGACUAGGCUGCAUCACCUACCCUUCUAAAUAGUGGUAUUAAAUUUCUUCAUAAAAAUGAAGAAACCACCCAUAAAAAGAAGAAAAAGUCAAUAACCCAAGCAGUUGUAUGAUGUCAGCUUGCAAUUGGGUAGCUCAGUUAUGGGAUCAGUCCGGGAAUUUGGGUUGUUGGAACCCUGUUUUCACAAGAUUCAACAAUGAUUGGGAGAUGGAAGAGGUGGAAACUUUUUUCAGAAGGUUACAUGGCCAUGUGCUUAGAAGGGGGAUUGAGGAUGUCAUGUAUUGGAGGGUCUCAAAGAAAGAUAUCUUUACGGUUAAAUCUUUCUUCUCUUCCCUAGCUCCUUGCAUUGGUAGAGAGUUCCCUUUAAGAUUAGUUUGGAAUCCUUGGGUUCCAAAGAGAGUCAGUUUUUUUGCUUGGGAGGCUAUCUGGGGAAGAAUUCUAACUAUGGAUCAAUUAAAAAGGAGGGGUUGGGCCUUACCAAGUAGGUGCUAUUUGUGUAAAGCGGAUGAAGAAUCAGCUAAUCAUGUGCUUAUUCAUUGCCUCAAGGCAACUAUGAUUUGGCACCUUAUUUUUGCUCUGUUUGGUGGCAAUUGGGUUUUGCCCAAUUCUAUCAAGGAAACCAUUCUUGGGUGGAACGGCACUUUUGUUGGAAAGAAAAGAAAAAAGGCAUGGAAUGCAGCCCCUCUAUACUUAUUUUGGACAUUAUGGAAGGAAAGAAAUAGAAGAAUCUUUGAAGAUUCUGAAUUAGUGGAUCAAGCUAUUUUACGCUCUUUUUUGUACAUGUUCUCAGAUUGGGUUGGGGUGCAUGUAAAUUGUGCUUCAUGGUCCAUUUUCGAUUUCAUUGAUUGGUUGGGUUGUAAGUAAGGGUUUUUUUUGUUUUUUCUCUCCCUUUGGCCUAGUUGCCUUGUAUACUCCGUGUAUACUGUUAGGUGUACUUUAGGCUUUCUUUAUACAAUUGCUUUUACUUAUCAAAAAAAAAAAAUUUACUUCCUCCUUUUUCCAAUGCUAAAAACUAAGAUGAUUAACAAGUUCAUUAAGAAGAGGGUCUAUAUGCUAUCUGUUUUAAUAGUUGAGAGGGAAAGGAAUGUUGAAAAACUUAUUACGUGUCUCCUCUCAAUCCCUCCUAUUUCUCUAAUCUUUUUUAUCAAUUUGGGGUGGGACAAAUGAAAUUGAAGCUCCCUAAAAGGGGAGAAUAUGCAACAUGAUAAAAUUGAAGAAUGCGGUUGGAGGAACAAUGAGUCAAUGACUCAGGAAGAUGAACAUGGGUUCUGUGGAUCAGAGAUGGCCAUCAAUUAGCAUCUUUGAAUGCUAAUCUUCAAAGAAGUAUCAACUCAAGUUCUGGAUCGAUGAGAGCAAUACUUAAUAUCAAAUGUAAUACCUAUUAUAUACCCUGGCACAUGAGAAGAUCAAAGAUGAUGUUGGUCCAAUACUAGUUUGAAGUAUACAACUGAGACCUCCAGACAAAACAAAACAGAACUAAUUCCAGCAUAAGUUUGGCUGUUGUGCCUGAAGUAGUUCCCAACAUUCAUGUGUCAGUGUGAUUGAAAUGGCAAAAGAAUAAAAAAAAAAAAAAAAAAAAUAAGCGAAAUACUGAAAUUGGAGUUAUUUUGUUACAUAGGCUUCAUGGAGAAGUAUGAAAAAGCGAUAUAUUUCCCUUUUCAAUCAUGUGGCAGUGGCUAUGAUCCUUGAUCUCAUGUAUUUCUGGUUUCUAAAGAAGGGGCCUAUUAUAUCAUUCCUUUUCAUUAUCAUUCUUUUCUGUUUGAGUGAUGUCUUUAACUUUUUGCUAUUAUGUUGCUCAGAGAUUGUCUUUUAUUUUUAUUUUUUCUUUUUUUGAUCAGACUCAGAGAAUGUCUUUUAGCUUCAAUUAAUUGUCAAACCAUGGAUUUUCUUUUUGUUUGUUGUUUCUAUUGUUUUCAGUAGUUUCUUUUUCCUCAAUCACACUUCAAUGGUUUACCACUUUUUUUGCUUAAAGAGGACUUUAGAGGAGAAAAAAUCUGUUCGAGUUGAGGCAAAGAAUGCAGAAAGAUCAGCAAUGCAAUCUUUUCAGGAGAAGUCUGCCAUUGUUGAGGUCUACACAAAGGUACUUCACUAUAAAAUAAUAUGUUAACCUUUUACUGUCUUUUAUCUACCUUGCAUCUUGGAGAAAAGAGCUCAUAUAUUUUGCUAGUUUUGUUUAUUUAUUUGUAAUGCACUCUAAGGUCCUGUUUGGUAACUAUUUUUUAAAAACAGUUUUUGAACAAUUUUUAAAAACUAUUAUAUGAUAUUUUGUAGAAUUAAAUGUCUGCUUAGGUAUUUGAAAUAUUUUUAACCUUUUUUUCUAUGUUUUUAAAUAUAUUUUAAAAAUAACUUUUAUAUACAGUGUUUUAUUUUUAAUCAUUCUCUAUAUUUGUAUAAUUAUUUUUUUAAAUAACCUUAAGAAAAUAAGUGAAGACAACUUAAAUAAUUAAAAGAUAUUAUCUGAAAACACCAUCAUUUCUGUUUUUAAGAAUAGAAAACCAUUUCUUAUUUUUUGGUUACCAAACAUAUUUUUCUAUUUUUUUUUGGAAAAUAGAAAAUUAUGUUUUAAAACAGUUACCAAACAUGGCCUAAACUUUCUACAGUGUACAUGUCAAUGUAGGUUUGCUUGAUAAAAGGUGUCUUAUUGCCUUAAUGUGUUUAGCCAUAAUGUUGAUACUAUUAGAAUACUCAUUUGGUUGAUAUCUUUGAGAUCUCUGAAUUCUUGUACAUAAAAUUGGAAAUAUGGUAUUGGACAAAUAUUCUUUAAGAUUCCAUUAAUUUCCCUGAACUUCCAUGAAUUGAAUCCCCUUGUAUGAUGAUGAGGCGCAUUGAACUUCAAUUAUUAUAUAACAAAAUAGUAUUUUAGUUAUCAACUUCCAUUAAUAUCCAAAAGUAGGAAGUGUAUUCCGCUUAAGAACAUCUAGAAUUUGAAUUUUGGAAAACCGUUUCAGUACUAAUGUGAUGGACAAGUUACCAAAUUCUAUGCAGUUGGGGAAUAAGAUAAGUUUAUUUUAUUUUAUUUUUUACGAGUUUUUUUUUUUUCUUAUUGAUUGAUGGCUAAAUUGUGAAUGCUGCAUACUUCUGGUGGAUGUUGAAACCAUUUGCCCAUUUGUUUACUUUCUAAAUAAGAGAAUAGGAAACUUGAAACCUUUUAUUUGAAGGAGGAAGUACUAUUAAUGAUGGGCUACUCUUCAAACCAAACAAGGAAAAAGGAAAAGGCUGGAGCAUAUGCCUACAUACCCAUAAGACCAACUCAACAAACUCAUUAGAAGGAAAUUCCUGCCUAGCCAGGUGAACCCAACAUAAUUGGACAACCUAGGUUUCCAAAAGAAGGAAUUGUCACAACCCUAUUAAGAUCAAUGAUUCUGCAUUCAGCUGCUUACAAGCCUACCCUGAGAAAUCCGAAGGUGAUUGAUAUGGAGUCACCAUAUGCAUGUGUCUCUGUGCUAAUACUUUGCUAAUGAAUCUGAACAAUAAUCCUUCUCUAAGCCUACUAAGGAUUAUUCAAGGGCAGGUUUUCUGAAUCUUCUAUCAUAAAAUCUCUCUUAUGGGUUUCAAGAUAUAAAGUUUACAUUUCUACUCAUUGAAGGUUAACAUGCCCAUUAAGUUCACCUGUGCUCCAAAAGCAACACUACCUUACCCUGAACAAUAUUAUCUUAAAGAAACAGCAUGGUGAGCAUCUUCCUCCAGACUGUUAAAACUUUGCCUCUGGACCAUCUACAUCCCAUCAUAUACUAAGUUCCUUGUUCAAAAGCUCUAAAGACUGCCUUUGUCUUUUUGAAGCUUUUAUAGUAUCUGAAUCCUUUUCAUGUGUUUUUAGAUAAAUCUUUUGGAACAAACUGCUUCCUAAAUAUCAAUUUUCAACUCGAUUUUUCUCAAGAAACUAGGUGUUCAAAAUCUUUUGUAUUACUUACUGGUGAAACUUGGAAGAAAAAUAAAAAAAAUUGAGACAACAUGCAUGCAUGAAUGCUUACACACAAAUAUAUACAAAAAUUCCUCUGUAUUGAAUUCUAGUCAAAAAGGUUAUUGAUGCUGCUUUUAUUCUUUGUGUUUCUCAGGCUGGCAAGAAAAUGUCCAAGCAUUUUGCGCAAAUGCAGGCUAUACAAGAACAGGUUAGCUUGAAUCUUAGCUGGUCUUCCUUUCUACAAUGCAUGGUUUGGUUUGAUGGCCAUAUGAAAAGAAACUUCUUAAUGAAAGAAAUCAAAUCCUCUGUGGGCAAUAUGGUGCCCUUGAAACAGAGUUCAGAUUUAAUGUUCCUGAUGGCCCUAGGAGAAGAAAUCUCUUAAUGAAAGAAAUCAGAUCCACUGUCAGCGAUAUGGUGCCCUUGAACUGGCAUUCAGAGUUAAUGUUAACCAAGGAACUUCUUGGGCCAACAUCAUUACUCUUUGCUAUUGUUCAAAAUGGUACGAUAGACUGGAGAGUUUCAAUAAUAUAUUCAGGUGUGCUGAUAGUCUACUUGCAUUCACCAAGGUUUUCUUCCUGAGAAAAGUUUGUGCAUGCCUAUCUCCAUUUCCUGUGAUCAUUAUCAAAGAUGUGUUAUUAAGAUUGGCCCCUGUAACAGGUGAACUCUGCCAAAGCCAUAGAAAAAGAUCUCAAGGUUCUAAAAACUAAGCUGAGUGAAGAGGGAGUCUUGGAUAAGUCUUUUGAGGCCAAACUUCUUGAACGACAAAGAAAAGGUACUGUUUCAUUUGGGCUACCAUGGGUCAUUGUCCAUAAUUCAGCUAGAACUUAUAACACUUCUUUUCUCAGUGGAACAGUUAGAUGAACUAAGAAAGCAGUUAGAAAAAGAACGAAAUUUUAAGUGUGAGGAGGCUGCUAAAGAAUUAAAUAAUGUCAAGUUGGCAGUGGAAUCAAAAAGGCGUGAGUUAGAAGCAAGGCAGAGGAAGGUUGAAGCUGAGGCAGCAGAGGUACUGUUCUUGCAGUAUGAUUCUUACCCUGAUUCAAAUCAUCUUUACCUGAAAUUGUUAGACAUCUGUGUUUUUCUUCUUGCCUUUCAAUUUUCAGGUUGAUGCUACAACUUUAAAGAUUAAUUCAGUAAAAGAAUCUGGAGCAGCUAAACAGCAAAAGUUGACCCGCAAGGGUGAAGAGAUUGUGAAAGAGGUACACUUCCAUUGAUAUCCUUUCUUUGUUAUGUUUGUGAAACUAUGAAGUAACUGAAAUUCUGACUUCGUGCUUGACUCGACCAGCACCAAGACCCAGAGAUAAAAUUUAAAUUUUACCAAAGUUUGAAACACACAUAAACACCGUUCAAUAUGCUCUUGGAAUGGGACCAAGGAAACCAGACAAAUAUUUUGACUACUGUUGUCCUCCUUGAGAUUUAUUAGGGACUAUCUCUACUCUUCACAAUACUGCGUCAUUUUCUAUAUAGGGGUUUUUGGGCUCCUUAUAAUCCUUACUUCCAUGGUUUCAUAUGAUGGAAGAUCCCCUAGUCCUUCCUUGCAUACAACUUUCCUCUUAUCUCUUGACACUUCUUUUGGUUUAUAAAUACAUACUUGUUUGAUGUUUGAAGAUAGUUUCAUAAAUAUGAGAACAAAGACAAUUCCCAAUCUUGUGUGUACAUGUAUGUAGUUCCACCAAUAUGCAAACUCUAUUGGGGUCUUGCUGCCAAGGAUCCAAGUGGAGCCAGAAGUUGAUCAAGAUAUGGGCAGAUCCAACUAACCCAAGUCACUCAUUUUUGAGUUAAUUGACUGGCUGACGCAUGCACCAUCCUUUUAGACUCAUAUCUCCCUCUCUUUUGUAGCACAACAAAAGUGAGCAAUCAGCCCAGUCUUGCCUUGGGUGCAGAUGUGAAGUUGGCUUUUCCCUUAGGGUUGUAAUGUAAAUUGAUGUUUGCUGGCAUGUAUCUUUAUAUGGGUGUAAUUGGUUAGAUGAAGUGUUAGCAUUAGGGCUGUUCAAGGUUAAGUUGGUUUGACUUGGAUCAAGUUCUUCCUUGAUAGAAAUAUAGUAUUAGUUUCUUGAGGGUUAUGUUAAUAUGAUUGUGCCAAGUCUAUCUAAACUGUUCUUGAGCCUUGGUUUAGCUGCACUUUGUGUUACUAAAUCUAGAUUUUCAAUUUUGAGUUUGGCUUGUUUAGUCUCGUUAGGAUGCAAGCAAGCCAAGCUAGAGCACCAAGUCGAUAGCUCUGUUCAUUUUGAUUAUGUUUGGUUCGUGGAAAGCAUAAAGAAAAGAAAAAGAAUGUUUGACAAUUUGAUUUUUUCAUAUUUGGUUUUGUUAUAAAAAGUAUGAAAGAAAAUCAAAUAUAAUUAAAAUUAAUUGAAAACUUAUAUAUUUUUAAGUUAUUUAACUUUGAGGUAAAAUAAUCGAAUUGAACAUGAAGUAAUAUAUCAUAAUAAUUUAUUGAUUUUAUUUUUUUUCCCCUUUUUCCUUUUUUCCUUUUUUCCUUUCAUUUUUCCUCAAUUUUUUUGGAAAUUAAACAUAGUUUUAAGGUUUGUUUGGGACUAAAUUUUGUAAGGGUUUUUUAACCUAUCGGGUUUUUAUUGAUAACACUUUUAUUAGAAAAGAAACAUUUUUAUGAAAAUAUUUUAAUGCAAAUAAAAAAUGUUUUGAAAUUAUUUUUUAUAACAAUUACGUAACAAAAGCAAAGUGACUUUUAGGAGUAUAUAUCAAAUAUAGUGGAAAAAAAAAUUACAUUAAAUGAUUCUUUAGCUUUUUAAAGUGAUUUUUAAAAUAGGGUUAAAUGUCUAAUUUUAUAAAACAUUAAGUGAGUGUUUGAUAAGGUUUAAAAUGUCGGUAAACACGAAUGCAUUGAUACUUGAAUUUUAUGGAUAUACAAAAAGUAUCGGAGAAAUAUCAGUGGAUAUUUUAAUAAAAAUAUAAAAAAUAGUUCAAAAUUCAUGAAAAUAUUUAGAAAACUUUAAAACAAUGAUAAAAUAAGUAAAAAUACACAUAUUAAAGUUAUUUUAUAAGUUUAAUUAACAUAAGUAUGAUUAAAAAUAAUAUUUAUCACAUUUUUAUAAAAUAAAAAAUAGCUUAAAUUCCUUUAAUAUAUAUAAUUUUUUUUUAAAUUGUCAAAAAAAUCGGCAAUAAAUAUUUUUUGAGACCAACCCUACUCACAUGCGCAUUGCCCCCAUGCUCGAUUAUUUGUGAAAUUUCGCUCUAAAAUCAAAUUUUUAUCAAUAUACCAACGAUUUAUUAUUAUUAUUAUUAUUAUUAUUAUUAUUAUUAUUAUUAUUAUUAUUAUUAUUAUUAUAUUUGACCAAUUUUUUUCUCGGUGGCCAAAAUUGUUUUGAUCGCCUAUAACCGAUUUUUUGCCGAUAUUUCGGGAAAAAAAAACCAAUUUCUCAAACUUUGGUGUUUGAUAAAUUAAUUGAAUAGUUUAAAGUGAUUUAAUAACUUCAUUUAAGUUAUAAAAUAAAUUAUACUUGGUAAAAUAACUUAAUAGUAUGACUUAAAAGUGUGGACCCCGCAUUUUGCUCGAUGCGUUCUCACUCGAUGGCGAGCUCGAUUUUUAUUUUGUUUGGUGAAAAUUUGAUCUUUAGAAAAAGACUUGGAGUCGUCACUUAUUGUUGCUUUAUUUUUAAAGGGAAAAACAAAAUAAGAAAGAAAAACCCUAAGUGCGACUCCUGAGGAAAAAACGGGUAUGUGAAAAACCGAGUCUGGGUCCGGGGGUCAGGUUACUCAUUGGGAAGGUACAGUGGUGAAGCGUAACACCCCUCUAAGCCCGUAUAUGUACGGCCUCUACUAAACGAAUUAAGGAAAUUGUGGCAAUUAAUUAAUUAAUUAUGAAUACUAUGAAAAAUAAUCAAUAUACAAGUCAUGGUAAAAAUUAAUAUGCAUAAAAACAAUUAUGAAUUCUAAAUACAAAUACACAAAAUAAAUAAUAAGAUAAUUAUGCAAAAUGAUUCAUUGAAUUAAAUAAAUAAAGGAUAUUAAAAAAAAGUUUUAAAGAAAUUUCAAAGGAUUUUAUUAAAAAUGAUUUUGAAUUAAUGAUUUUCAUUUAUUUACUUAUAAAAAAGAAUCAAUUUAUUUUCUCAAUUUCAUUUAUAUUCAAUUUUCAAAAAGGCCAUUUACACUUAUUAUAUCAAAAAAAUUUAUUAUAAAAUUUCAAUUUAGGUACAAAAAUUAUUUUUACUUACUUUUACUAGAAAAUAAUGAAUUUUUACAAUUUUAUUUACAAAAAUAUUCAGAUUCAUUUUCUUUUAGAAGAGUGAUUUUUAUAAAUUAUUUAAAAUGACAUAACUUUAUUUGCAAAAAAAAUUUUAAUUAAAAAGAAAAACAAAGAUUUAAAUUCUAUAUUUAUGAAAAACACUUUUAAUCCCAUUUUAAUUAAGAAAAAAGAAUUCAUUUGAAAAAAUAUUUUUAGACAAUUUUAUUAAAAAUUAAUUUUUGGAACAACUUUAUUUACAAAACAAUUUUUGGACAAUUUUUAUUAAACAAAGAAAUUUUUGAGCAAUGUCAUUAAAAACAAUUUUUUGAAUUCUAUUAAAAACAUUUUUUUUUCUAAAUGCAUUUUUCUGAAUUUUUAUAAAUAAUAAAAAAACUUUAUUUUAUUAAAAAGAAUAUUUUAAAAUUAGUAUUUUAUUAUAACAUAUUUACUGAAUUCUUCCUCUCAUUUAAACAAAAUUUCUAAUUCGUUCGAUGUUCAAUUCUGUACACACUCAAUAAAUAUAUACAAAUGAAUAUUUACAUGAACCAAUAAAAUUAAAAUCAAAUAAAAAUAGGUGAUAAAACGUGUAUUGCAGAAUGGGUACAUGCAAAAACAAAAAUAGCACAAAUGUAAAUAUCUAAAAAUAUAUAAAAUUCAAAAUGGAUAUUCAAGCCCAAAUUCAAAUUUCAAAUUAGCCCAAUAAAUUUCACAAAUUAAAAAAAUAUCCCCAAAUUAACAAAUAUACCUCAACAAAAAUAUCUCAUAUGCCAAUAAUCAUAGUGCAAGAUUUCCCAAUUAAUUACCAAAAUACAAGCACAAUUAAUCAAGUUCAAGUACAAUAAAUCAAAAUAAAUUCAAUUAGGCCUAGAUUUAAUAUCUCAUAAUCCAAGCCCAAAUUUAAUAUGCAAACCAUACCCACAACCAAAAUCAACCCAAUUUAUAUUAAUCCCAAUUUAAAUAAUUCAAAUGAGUAUAACCAUAUAAAUUAUCAACUAAUUUAGCCUAAAUUAACAAAUUCUAAAUUAUUUCACCAACAGUAAAUCAACCCGAAUUUCAUAUUAAUUCUCUAAUAACAAAUUAACCAAAAUUUUGUAUUAAUUUACCAACAACAAAUUAACAUAAAUCUCAUACUAAUUAAUAAAGCUCAAAUAUAAGACCACAAAUAAACACAAAUACACAAUCCCAAUUUUAACAAUAAUUAAUAUUAAAAUAAAAGAAAAUGACAACAAUAGCAAUAACAAUAAUAAUAAUAAUAAUAAUAAUAAUAAUAAUAAUAAUAAUAAUAAUAGAAUGAGAGAAAAUUGGAGGGGUUGCUGGCCGGCAGGGCUCGCCGGCGGCGAUUGGCCGGUUACCCUACCGGGCGAUAGUGAGAUUGAUGGCUUUUUGAAAAACAAAAAAUAAUAAUAAUAAUAAUAAUAAUAAUAUAAAAAAAAAAUUAAAAAAAAAAAAAAAGGAUAAUAAGAAAAUGGGGGAUGAAGGGCACUAGGAAUGACGUCCGCUCGGAGUUGAGUGGCAAUGUGUGGGAAGUUGGGGAGGAAAAAUGGAGAAAAAAAGGAAAAGGAAAAAAUAAAAAUAAAAAAUGGGUGCCGGCGUUUGUGGGAGCUCGAAGGUGUGGUGUUGGGAGAAUAGAAAUGGAUGGAGGAAAAAAAAGGAAAGAAAAAAAAAAUAUACGAAAGAGUUGGCCACUGCCUUGGAAGUGGGAGUUGGAGGAAAACCAGAAAAAGGAAAAAGAAUGGGGAAUGAGAUCUGAGGGUGGGGUGUCGGCUGUGUGAGAGGAAGAGAGAGUCAAUGGAGGGGAAGGGAAAAAGAAAAAAAAAACUGAGAAAAAAAAAAUGACCCACCCUCUGCUGCUGUUGGGGAGAGUGUCAAAAAUGGAGGGGGAGCUGACAAGAAUCAGGGGGGUCCCCCACGUGGGAAGGGAGAAUGGGGAAAAUGAAAAGAAAAUAAUAAAAAAUUAAAAUUAAAAUAAAAUAAAAAAAUGAUAUAUGGGGUGAUGGCCCGUGGUUAGGGGUAUGGGAUGAGAGAGGAGGAGUGGGUCAGAUGGUUGGGGAAUAGGAAAAGGAAGAGAGAUGAGAGAGAAAAAAAUAAAAUAAAAUAAAAUAAUAAAUAUAAUAUAAUAUAAUAAUAAUAAUAAUAAAUAAAAUUAAUAAAUAAAAUAAAAUAAAAUAAAUAAAUAAAUAAAUAAAAUAAUUUACAAAAUAAUAAAAACAAAAAAUUAAAGGGUGAGUGAGUAUAAAAUAAUAUAUGUAAUCAGGAUUUAAAAUUGGACUCAAAAUUAAUGUAAAAAUAAAAUUAGGACAAAUUUUGGGGUUUACAAAAAGUCAAAAAUAACUUUAAGUAAUAAGUAAAAACAAUUAAUUCAUUCUUAAAUUCAAAUCUUUAUUUUAUCUUUUUACCCCAUUUGUCCUAGUUACCUUCAUGAUCUUUUUUUUGUUACUCCACAAUCUUUAUUGUUACUUAAGGUCAUUUGCCCUAAUCAUAAUUUAUGAGGAUAAAUAUAUCAAUUUGAUAAUUUAGAAUAAAUUUUAAGUUAAUUUUAUUAAAAAAUACUUUUAAACCUUUUAAAAAAAGUUCUCAACAAAUAUGUUGCAAGAUUUCAAGAGUACCAGUUUUUAGGCUAAAAUUCCACAAUAAUUUUGGUUUAGAAGUGUCUUAAAAAAANNNNNNNNNNNNNNNNNNNNNNNNNNNNNNNNNNNNNNNNNNNNNNNNNNNNNNNNNNNNNNNNNNNNNNNNNNNNNNNNNNNNNNNNNNNNNNNNNNNNNNNNNNNNNNNNNNNNNNNNNNNNNNNNNNNNNNNNNNNNNNNNNNNNNNUUCCAAAUUGGAAAACUGAUUAUUUUUUACUAAAUAAUAUUAAAUUCACAUUCAAGCUUUUUUAUUUUAAUUUUUUUAAAAUAAUUUUUAUGCUAAAUUAAAAGAACCACUCUAAAAAUAUUUGGAUUUUCAAAAUUUUAAAACCAAAUUUCAAAAUGAGAUGAUAAUACCUACUAGUUAAUUAUUCCAAAUUAUUUACCUGUUGAAAAAAAUAUCAAAAAACAAAAUUAUAAAAAUACAUCAAUAAGAUUUUACUAAUUUGAAAAAAUAUAGAAAAGGUAAUUGGAACUUUUAUAACUUAAUUUUAUCUUCGUCCAUUUAAAAAUAUUUUAAAAUAUAUACAUUUUUUCAUAAAUCAUAUAAUUAUUUUCUAAAAUACUCUUUUACUUGAUAAUAUUAAAAUAAAAUUAUCAAAAAAUUAAUUUAUUAGUGUAAUUUGAUAAAACUAUCUUACAAAUAAAUAUAUUAUAAAUUUUUAAUUAUAUAAGAUAUAAAUUAUCUCGUAAAUAAAAUCUUCUAAUUCUCUAAUUAAUAAACAUUUUAUAUCCUGUAUUAUAUUAAUUCAUUCAUCUUUUCAAUUUCUUUUAAUAAAAUUGAAUAAAAAAAAUUUUAGUUGAGAUCUACAAUAAAAUAAGAAAUUUUAAAAAUUAAAACUAAAAUACUUAAAAAUGAAAUACAAUUAAAAUAAAAAACAUAAAAAUUAAAUAGGAUUAAAACAAAAAAACUUAAAAAUUUAAAAGAAAAAAUAUUGACUCCUAUUGUAUUUCAAUUUUUUUUUGGAUAUCUAUAUUUUUUAUUAAGGUGCUUGAUUUGAAAGUUAAUAUUUUAUUGUUAUAUUUUUAGAUUUAAAGUUUUUAAAUUUUAAUUGUAUUUUUAAUUUUAUUUUAUUGGUCUCAAAUUAGUUUUUAUAAUAAAAAAAAUUGUCAGUUGAUAUUAUUAACUUGACAAGUAAAAUUAUCAUUUUAAAAUUGUAUGUAUUUUAAAAUAUUUUUAAAUUGAUGAAGAUAAAUUUGAUUUAUAGAAUUUAGGGUUAUUUUUUCUAUUUUUUUUAAUCAGUGGGUUUUCCCUAAGUUUUUUUUUUCCUACUUCUUAUUAUAUAAUUAUUAAAUACAUUUUUUAUUUUCUUAAAAAAGAGAAAAUACAACAAAAAUGGCAAACAAAAUUUAGAGGGUAGAAUUUUAAACAUCCUGACAUUAAGAAAAUCUUAUGAAGCAUUGUGGAGUUGGCGAAAAACUCGUCUCUACCACCGAAUGUUAACGCAUUUCUCUGCCAAAGUCCUUCAAAAUCCUCAGUCAAUGCAACAUGGACUUCGCAGACCAGUCUCAGCAACAAUCCCACCACUCAAAUCUCUCCUCUCUCACCCAAUUCCUCCGCCACCAGCACCUCCACCUCCACCUUCACCUGAAUGUACUCCAAAACCCUCCCUAAACCUUCAGUUGCGUAUCCUCCUACAGCCCAUCCUCCAACACUUUCCUCACCCUUCAUCCUAUGCACCCAUUUUCCAGUUCCUUACUCGCCACAACUUCAUCAAACUAGGCCAGCAAGCCCACGCCCAAAUUGUCCUCCAUGGCCUCCAACCCAAUGCAUUCCUCGCCGCCAAAAUGGUGGCAAUGUAUGCCAGCUCCGGGGAUCUUGAUUCCGCUGUGGUCGUUUUUGAUAGGAUUGAUAACCCAUCUUCUUUGUUGUAUAAUUCGAUUAUUCGGGCUUAUACUCGACAUGGGUUUCCUGAAAAAACCCUCNNNNNNNNNNNNNNNNNNNNNNNNNNNNNNNNNNNNNNNNNNNNNNNNNNNNNNNNNNNNNNNNNNNNNNNNNNNNNNNNNNNNNNNNNNNNNNNNNNNNCUCGAAGCUUAUGCCCGGAUGCAUUUUCUGGGACUUCUUGGUGAUAAUUUUACGCUCCCGUUUGUUCUCAAGUCGUGUGCGGACUUGUCGCGUGUUUGUAUGGGGAGAUGCGUUCAUGGGCAGGGCUUGAGAGUUGGAUUGGAGGGUGAUUUUUACGUGGGGGCUUCUUUGAUUGAUAUGUAUGUGAAAUGUGGUGUGAUUGGUGAUGCCCGUAAGCUGUUUGAUAAAAUGAUUGUUAGGGAUAUGGCUUCUUGGAAUGCUUUGAUUGCGGGUUAUAUGAAAGAGGGCGAGAUUGGUGUUGCUGAGGAUUUGUUCGAACGGAUGGAGCACCGGAAUAUUGUUUCUUGGACUGCGAUGAUAUCAGGCUACACACAGAAUGGUUUUGCGGAGCAAGCACUGGGUUUGUUUGAUGAGAUGUUGCAAGACGGUUCAGAGAUGAAGCCCAAUUGGGUAACUAUUGUGAGUGUUCUCCCUGCUUGUGCUCAGUCAGCUGCUCUUGAGCGUGGGAGGCGGAUUCAUGAUUUUGCUAAUGGAAUUGGUUUGCAUUUGAAUUCAUCAGUGCAGACUGCACUUGCUGGGAUGUAUGCCAAAUGUUAUAGCCUUGUUGAAGCUCGAUGCUGUUUUGAUAUGAUAGCUCAAAAUGGAAAGAAUUUGAUUGCUUGGAACACUAUGAUAACGGCUUAUGCCUCUCAUGGCUGUGGCGUAGAAGCAGUUUCAAUUUUUGAGAACAUGUUAAGAGCUGGGGUUCAACCUGAUGCUGUAACAUUCAUGGGAUUGUUAUCUGGAUGCAGCCAUUCAGGUCUUAUUGAUGCUGGCUUGAACCACUUCAAUGAUAUGGGUACAAUUCACUCAGUUGAACCAAGAGUUGAGCAUUAUGCAUGUGUCGUAGAUCUUCUGGGCCGUGCUGGGCGAUUGGUGGAAGCAAAGGAGCUGAUUAGUCAAAUGCCAAUGCAAGCAGGACCAAGCGUUUGGGGUGCACUGUUGGCUGCUUGCCGGAGCCACCGAAAUUUGGAGAUAGCAGAGUUGGCAGCUAGAAGGCUCUUUGUUUUAGAACCAGAUAAUAGUGGGAAUUAUGUUCUCCUAUCAAAUUUGUAUGCUGAAGCUGGGAUGUGGGAGGAGGUAAAGAAGUUGAGGGCUCUUUUAAAAUAUCAAGGCAUGAAGAAGAGUCCUGGAUGCAGUUGGAUCGAGAUCAAUGGGAAAUCCCAUUUAUUUAUGGGGGCUGAUAAAUCUCACCCACAGGCUAAGGAAAUUUACAAAUUUUUGGAAGCCCUGCCUGAAAAGAUUAAGAUGGCUGGGUACAUACCAGAUACUAGCUUUGUGUUGCAUGAUAUUAGUGAAGAAGAAAAAGAAUAUAACCUUACAACCCACAGUGAGAAGCUGGCAAUUGCUUUUGGGCUUCUUAACACCAGGCCUGGAGUAGUUCUCCGAGUAACAAAAAACCUUCGAAUAUGUGGAGACUGCCAUGCGGCUACUAAGUUCAUAUCAAAAAUCUAUGAGCGGGAGAUAAUUGUGAGAGAUUUGAAUCGGUUCCAUUGCUUCAAAGAUGGUUCUUGUUCUUGUGGAGAUUAUUGGUGACCAUGCAAGGAGGACACUAAGUUUUGAAGUUGUGUCAAUUAAGAUGACAUCAGCACGGGUAUCUUAGCUCCAUUUUGUGUAUUGGGUGAAAUAUUGGAGUUAUCUGAAGGGAUUUGUGGUCAUCCUACACUAGCUUCGACCGUCAUUUCAAAUUUUGACCUCAAUAUUGAACUCUGUUUACUUAGACAGCUGGAAUUAGUUCGUGGAAGUUUAUGAAAUGUAUAAAACCCAAAGCCUCAAAUACAGACUGGGAGUUUGUUUUACAAACAGUUCGGUUUGAGAAGAUUUUCACCUUGAUACAGCAACCAACAUCCAUGUAUUAUAAGUUUUCAAACACCAUGGUUUUCUUGUAAAUUGCUAAUCUUAUAUCAUGAAGUACUGCAAGAACUAACCAUUUUCUUGCUUCUAAUAUUGCAGCAUGAUCCCAGAAAACUGGGGCAAAGUGCAGAGUCAAUCCUUUUAUCUGGAUUCACAUUUGUAAGUAUCCCUGUUACCAUGGUUGUUGGGCACUUUCACCUGCAAAAAUUUCUAAGUAUUUUGCUUGGAUUAUGGUUUUGUCUCCAGCUAACAUUGAGAGGAUCAAAGCUUGAAUUCGGAAUAAUUCUAUUUUGGUAGGGGCUAUCUUAAAUCCCCAUUGUACCACAUUUCAAUCUUCUGUCAAUACAGAGCUUUUCUUCUACUUCUCUUAUUUGUCUUUUGUGUCCUUUACUUAUAUGUUUCAAAUGUCUCAACACCUCAUCGUGCCACCUUUCAAACUUCCUGUGAAUAUAGAGCUGUUUUUCUUAUUUUUUUCUGUUUCCUCUUCUUAUUUGCUGUAGAUGCAUUUCUGUUGCAGGCAUAAUUUAUCCCAUUAAUCAUUAUCAACACAGGCUACUUAUACUUGUGAUUUGACUUUUACUAGAGGCACAGUUUGAAUGCAUGUUUUAGUGUUAAGUUAAAAUGAUUAUAACUUGUGUGGCAAAGUAAUGGACCUCCAUUUCUUUUCCUAGAAGAUUAGAUGUUUUUUGUACUGACACAUUGUUUAAUAAUUGUCCUAUUCUCUUUUAAUUCUAGGAUAGCACUUCCUAUUUGAAUUUGAUAAAAAUUUUCAGGCAACAGAGAAACAAAUUUGGUUAGCAGUCAAUAUGAACACGUGUCUACUGCACCUAUAAUGGUAUUCAAUUAUAUAUGUAUGUUUGAAUAAAUGGAAACACCAAGAACAAAUUUCUGAACUCGCAUUAUCCUCAGGUUAUGCAAUAGACAUUUGUUUUAUCCCUUGCUUACAAGAAAAUGAGUUCUGGAUUGGUUAUUUGCUAAAUGGUGCAUCAUGUAAUUUAGGAAAUUGAUUUCUAGACCCACAUCAGUACAAAUCACUACCAUUAUCAAUGAAUAUUUCUUUCCCACAUUUAUUCCUUAUCGCUAUCUGAUGCAAAGUAUAAUUAGAAAAAAAAAAAGGUUUAGAAACUUAAAAAAAAUUAUAAAAUCCUAUACAAAAUGAACAAUGAAAAAAAUAUUUAUUGAUAGUUCGAAAUAAUUAUUUUUAAAUCUUAAAGUUUAUAAACAUAUACUUGUUUUGAUUUCAGCUAUUAUGAUUAAGAAAUUGUACUUUUUACAUUUUUUGAAUAUUUUUUUAUCUAUAAAUGUAUAAAAUUUUUAUAUUUUAAUUUAAACAUAGAUGCAAUAAUGGUGUAAAUGUUCUUCAAAGUAUUUUAAAAAAUUGUAAUUUUAAUAUUGUUAAGGCAAAUGUAUUGCCAGCACAUCUAUGCAAAAUUUGACUUGUAGAGAUGGAAAAAACAAGGUUAUUUUUAGUGAGAAUAAAAGACAGCUCUCUUCCAGUACAAGAUAACUAUAAUCGUGUCCUAACCUUAACCUUAAUUUUCUGCUUAUCAUAUAAGGUUCAUUGUAUAUUUAGAGAUAUUGGUGAUUUAUUCUUUGAAACAAAAAUUGAGAGUUAAGUUUGUGGACAUGAAAUGUGCUACUAGCAAACUAGAAAAGUAUGAAAUGAUGGUGAGGAUCAUCUUUGAUAUAGGGUUUGAUUUGAUUAGGAUCAGUGAUUCAACAUACAGGAAACUUGUAGUUCCAAGGUUUAUUUUUUUAUUUUUUUAUGAAUUUUUGUAUGAGUUCAUUUUCCAUCUAAUUUAGUCUUGUUUGUCUCACAUACCUAGCUAUUUCCUUUUAGUGUGCAAGAUUCCAUUCUCAGUGGCAGCAAUGAUUGAGAAAAUGCAAAAGGAUUUUCUUUGGUUAGGGUUUGGGGAGGGAAAGAGAGAUCAUCUUAUUAGCUGGAUCCAAAUGUACAAGCCUAAGGGGAAAGGAGGAUUAGUGUUCAGGAACAUGUCUUUGAGAAAUGCAGCCCUCUAAUUAGGGGAGUGAUUGUGGAGAUUUCUUAGGGAGUGCUACAUUGAUUUGGAUAGUAUGGUGGGAAAGAAAUGCAAGGAUCUUUGAGGACAAGUGGUGGACUUCCAAAACAUUAUGGAAUCUAAUCUAUUUCUAUUCAUCUUUUGGGGCAUCGACUACUACAACUUUUAAAGGCAUUCCUCUCAACUUUAUUCAACUUAAUUGGAUUUCAAUAUGUAGAUCAAAAGGAUUAAAAUAGAAAUAUCGAGAUGUUUGUAAUGUCUUCUGGUUUAUUUUUCUUUUCCUUUGUUUUGACUAGGUUUUGUUUUUAGGGAAGGAUUCUCAUCCUUCUCUUUUUUACUCGGUUAAUGAAAAUAUUUUUGUUUCUAAUAAAACAAAUUGUAAAAUAAAGUUAGAUUAACCCUGGUUCAUAUGAUAGCAUUGAAUUAUGUUCUAUUAUUCGUUGUUCAGAUCCAGUUGUUCCUAUCAGUCUAAUAAAGAAGUCAACAAUUGAGGAGGCACAUCUGGUUUUCUAAGUUAUAUAUGUUAACUAUUUGUUUUUUUUUUGGUAUUUUGUUUAUCAUAUUAUAGAUUCUAUCAUUGAUUUCUUAUUCAGUAAAUUCAUGUUUAACUUGAGCUGGGAGUGUAAAUUUGAGUGCUUUUGAUAUAUUUGAGUGUCAUCAUUGUUAUUCAAAUGAUUGAUUGGUCUACUGCAUCAUUCAUUCUUUGUUUAGAAACUAUUCUAUGAGGAAUCAAGCCUAGAAUAACACCCUUCUCAACCAUCACCACUUCACCCAAGUCUAAGAGGCUGUGCUAGGUGUACUUCCCUAUUCAUGCACAGUGGUGCUAUCAGCAUUUUGCAGUAUAUGGAUCAUUGAGAUAAUCAAUACAUCAGUCCAUUGAAGAAAUAUUAAGCUGAGAUGUCAAAAGUUUGGAUGUCACCCACUUGCAGGGCUAUCAGCAUACCUGAUCAGGCUUUGUGUUACAUGCCACAGUCAGACAGAUUUUGUGGCUGCAUUAAUAACAGGAGAGCAAUUCUAAAACUCUCCAUCACUUCUUUGGUGGUUCAGUUACAAGGAGGCAAAAGUGACCUUUGGGUUUGCGUUAUGCAAGAGCUGGUCUAACCUGGGUCAGUCGCUAAUUGGAGGUCAGGAUCACACAAAUUCUGACUGGUUACCAGAUGAAGGACUCGUUGGGAUUCUUGCUGUGUCUCCCCUACAUACCACUGCAAUAAUGUUCUCAAGCAGCAGUAUAACCUGAUUUAAUACCCAACAGUAUUGAAUUAUGACCCAUGUGUGGAUUUGUCUAUUUCUGUGUAGUUGUUUAGUUCAGCUUAUCUUUUCGGUCCAAAUUUAUUUCAUUUGUUCUACCAGUCUCUUAAACAGGAUUAUAGUUCAUCAGUUAUUGAUUUUAUCAUUUACAACUUGCAGGAUAGAAAUGUUGGAAGAGGUGAUCAAUUAAAGCAGGUUACAGAUUUAUUUAUGAAACUCCACAAAUAUUCUGUUGGCAUGCAGCAGCAAAAGCAGCUAGAAUUGGAGGAGAGGAAGGUCUCAGAGCUGUUACCCAUUCUGUUCUUGCACUGCACUGGCUGUUUUUCACUCCAGCAGUAAAGCAGUGAAGAAUUGAUUCCAGGUUGGAACUCUGAUGGAAUGGCUUGAAUUUUCAGACUGUCUUCAGGGAGUGGCUCAAUUUCUGAAUGCCUCAUGGUGCCACGUUUUAUUCUUUCUGUGAAUAUAGAGCUUGGAUCUUAGAAGACCAUCUCAACACCUCAUGGUGCUACAUCUCAAUCUUUCUAUUAAUACUUAGAUUAUAGAAGACACAUAGCUCUGGUCAAUAGAGUUAGUACCAUAAAGAAGCAAUAUUUGCUAAAGUUGUUGGAUAUGUUAAAUUAUACAGGAGACCUUAAUGCUAAGAGGUUUAUGAUUGGUUAUUUAUUUAUUUGAUUUACUAGUAAACUCAUUUGUUGGAGGUAUACAAUUACAUUUUCCAUGACGAAGGCAAAGUAAACGAUGGUUAGUAAAGCCGUAAAGGAUGUUAAUGUUAUUCGUUUGAAAGGCUUUGACGAACAAUUUAAUUUUGAAAAGGGGAGUGUAUUGUUAUAUUGUGAUAGUCAGAGUGUCAUUCAUUUAACAAAUAAUCAAGUUUUUCAUGGUAAAAUAAGGCAUAUUGAUGUGAAGCAUUGAUCAUAAAAUGAAAAUGAACUUAAAGGAAGGAAGUACAACUUGGUCCUAUUGUAAAUGAGACAAUAUCUACAAGUUUGAGAAUUUGAACCUAGAUGAAGAUUGUAGAAAAGUGCCUCAAAUUCCCUUUUCUAAGUAAUUUCUAAUUCUUUCAUAUUUUGCAAUUAUGAUAAUCUCACCAAGAGAUCUUUCUAUUCUUAUAGAGAAAGUAUAACUUUCUACUAUAAUUAGACAAAUGAAAAAUAGCUUCUAUAUAUUAUAAUUAGACAAUUGGUUUCCUAGAUAGAAUAUUCAUAUGUGUAUAUACAUAUUCAUACAACCAACCUCACAAUUAGUUCGUUGUACUAGAAAAAUAUAAAAAAUGAUAAAAUAAAUAAAAAUAUUAAAUUUAUUUGUUUAACGAUAUAGGUAUGAUUAAAGAGAAAAAUAUCGAUAAGCAAGAUAUGUUGGUAUUAAUAAUUUAUUAUUUAUCUAAUCAAAUUAAUUUUAAUUUAUAAAAUAUUACAACUUAAUUAUUAUUAUUAUUAUUAUUUUUCAUAUUUUAGUAUUUUUUGAAUAAAUUUAUAUUUUUAAUAUUUUAAAAUAAAAACAUUCAAAAUUAAAUAAAAUUAAAAGGAUAAAUAUUUUUUUUUUUAAAGUGGAGUGAUAAUAAUUUUUUUAAAAUAGGAUUAAUGAGAUAAAUGAUGAUACAUUUAAUAUUUAAACUAUAAUUUAUUUAAUUCAAAUACAUUCAAUAAUCUAAAAUAAAUGAUGAUGCAUAUUUGACUUUUUAAUAUUUAAUUAUCAUAUAAAUGAUAUUAAAAAAAUAUUUGUUAAAAAAAUUAUAAUAAUGUUUUUUAUAUGUUUAUUAAUUAAUUAAAUAAAAUUUAAAAUAAAAUAAUUAAAAUUUAUUUAUUUAUUUUUUAAUAAUAAAUUUUAACAUAUUUAUUAUUAUCAUAUAUUAACAAAUAAUAACUUGUUCUAGUGGCAACAAAGCCCGUUGGCCUGGGUUUGAAGAGUUUUGGGUCAAAAUGACCCAUAUAUAUAUAAAAUAUUGGAUCUAACCACUUUAUGAAACUUAUAUUCAAAUUAGCCUCUUUGGUGCCACGUAGGAACCAUGUCAUAGAAAUAUAUUUUUUUUCAAAAUUUUAGUUAAAGCCUCAAUUGACAACUAAUGCUUCAUUUUCGAACUGGAGUUGCAGUUACCAACCGAGGCUUCAGUUUUUGAACUGAAGCCGUAGUUAUCAAUUGAGACUUCAUUUUUUAAUUGAAGCCUCAAUUGACAACUGAGACUUCAUUUUUGAACUAAAGUCUCACUUGUCAACUGAGGCUUAAGUUAAUUUUUUUUUUACUUUAAAAUUUAAUUAAAAAUUAUUAAAUUAUAAUUUAUUAUUGAAAUUAAAAAUAUAUACUUUAAUAAUAAAUUAUUUAUAUUUAAGCUUAAGAAUCUAGUAUUAUUUCAACAAACAUAAAUUGAUAAAUAGAAAAUAUUAUAAAUGAAUAUUUUAUUUAUUAAUGAAUUAAUAAUCUUAAAAUAAUAAUUUAUAUAAAUAUGUAAAUAAGAUAUAAAAAUUGUUUACUUUAUUAAUUUAAGAUAUUUAAUUUGUUUGUUUUUUUUAAAAUAUUAAUUUUUUUUUNNNNNNNNNNNNNNNNNNNNNNNNNNNNNNNNNNNNNNNNNNNNNNNNNNNNNNNNNNNNNNNNNNNNNNNNNNNNNNNNNNNNNNNNNNNNNNNNNNNNUAAGCUUAAGAAUCUAGUAUUAUUUCAACAAACAUAAAUUGAUAAAUAGAAAAUAUUAUAAAUGAAUAUUUUAUUUAUUAAUGAAUUAAUAAUCUUAAAAUAAUAAUUUAUAUAAUAUGUAAAUAAGAUAUAAAAUUGUUUACUUUAUUAAUUUAAGAUAUUUAAUUUGUUGUUUUUUUUAAGAUAUUAAUUUUUUUUUGUAUUAUAGCAAAUUUAUCCAUAGGUUCUCUCAUUGUGGAGACAUAUAUAUAUAUAUAUAUAUAUAUAUAUAUAUAUAUAUAUAUAUAUAUAUAUAUAUUCAGCAUAUAAAUGUUUAAUGAGUAUUUUUUGUGAUUUUGAUGAAACUACUAAAAAUUAUAUUUUGAAGUAGACUUUUUCUAAUUAAUUUCAUUAACUAAUUUUGUCAAAAAAUCUAUAUAUGGAAACUUAAGAGUAUACUAUUAUUUCGAUAAAGAUAAAUUUGUCAUAAUAUAAAUAAAUUAAUAUCUUAAAAAAUAAAAAAUUAAAUAUCUUAAAUUAAUAAAUUAUAAAAUUUUAUAGCUUAUUUGUAUGUCAUAUAAUUUUAUUAUUUUAAGAUUAUUAAUUUAUUGUAUUAUAUUUACCAAUUUAUGUUUAUUGAAGUAAUACUAGAUUUUUAAGUUUAAAUAUAAAUAAUUUAUUAUUAAAGUAUAUAUUUUUAAUUUCAAUAAUAAGUUGUAAUUUAAUAGUUUUUUUUAUUAAAUUUGAAAGUAAAAAAAAAAAAAAUUAAUUAAAGCCUCAGUUGUCAACUACGGCUUAGGAGUAUACUAUUAUUUUGAUAAAGAUAAAUUUAUCAUAAUAUAAAUAAAUUAAUAUAUUAAAAAACAACAAAUUAAAUCUUAAAAAACAACAAAUUAAAUCUUAAAUUAAUAAAUAAAAUAUUAAUUUAUAAUAUCUUUUUUUUAUUAAUUUAUGUUUGUUGAAGCAAUAUUAGAUUCUUAAGAUUAAAUAUAAAUAAUUUAUUAUUAAAGUAUAUAUUUUUAAUUUCAAUAAUAAAUUAUAAUUUAAUAAUUUUUAAUUAAAUUUUAAAGUAAAAAAAAAAAACUAACUAAAGUCUCAAUUGACAAUUGAGGUUUUAAUUAAAAAAUGAAGACACAAUUGUUAAUUGAAACUUCAAUUAAAAAAUGAAGCCUCAAUUAAUAAUUGUAACUUUAGUUCAAAAACUGAAGUCUCAGUUGACGACCGUGACUUUAGUUCAAAAAUUGAAAUUUCAAUUGACAACUGCAGUUUUAGUUAAAAAAAUAAAAUUUCAACUGCCAAUUGAGGUUUUAACUAAAAUUUUGAAAAAAAAAUAUAUUUUUAUGACAUGACUUUCACGUGGCAUAAAAGAGACUAAUUUGAAUAUAAGUUUUAUAAAGUGGUUAGAUACAAUAUUUUAAUAUUUUUAUAUAAAGGGGCAGUUUUGACCCAAAACUGGGGUUUGAAUCCCCUUCGCACCCACUUUAAUUUAAAGUGACGGGCUGCCAUUUUAAAUUUGAAAAAAGCACAGGAACAAUAAUGCCUCCCAAGGCUGCACGCUUUUCCACUAUUCUAGGAUUCCAAUUCACCGAAAGAGAAAAAGAAAGCAAUGUACAGAGGAAAAAAAAAAGUCUUUUCCUCAAUUAUCAUUUGAUAUAUAUUUGUUAUGUAUCAUAUAAUUAUAUAUUUUUAAUGUAAAUAAUGGCAAAUCUCUCUUUAUAACUAGUCUUUGUAAUUUGUCUCAUUUAUUCUAGCCCCUCCCUUUUGUAUUAUCUGGCAGGCUGUUAGGUGAAGGAAAGAUUCUGCUUGCUGUUUUGGUCAACAUUGCCAUUAGAGAAUUUUUCCUUCUUCUUGUUUACAUCUUUGUGAAAAUUUACUUAAUUCCUCUGUGGAAAUACAGACAUGGCUGAGGCUGUGGUGGGAGGAGCAUUUCUCUCGGCUUCUCUUCAAGUUCUAUUCGACAGGUUGGCUUCUCGUGAGGUUGUGAACUUCGUCCGGGGACAGAGAUUCACCCCAGAACUCCUAAAGAAGAUGGAGAUAACAUUGCUCACUGUCUAUACAGUGCUUAACGAUGCAGAGGUGAAGCAAAUUACGAAUCCACCGGUCACAAAGUGGGUAGAGGAGCUUAAACAUGUUGUCUAUGAAGCGGAGGAUCUACUAGAUGAGAUUGCUACUGAAGCUUUAAGAUGCAAGAUGGAGUCUGAUUCUCAAACUAGUGCAACUCAGGUAUGGAGCAUCAUUUCUACCUCGCUUGAUUCAUUUGGUGAAGGGAUAGAGUCCAGAGUAGAGGGCAUCAUUGAUAGACUAGAAUUUCUUGCACAGCAAAAAGAUGUUCUUGGGUUGAAAGAAGGAGUAGGAGAGAAACGGUCACAAAGAUGGCCAUCAGCAUCUUUGGUAGAUGAAUCUGGGGUGCACGGUAGGGGUGGUAGCAAAGAGGAGAUAAUUGAAUUUUUACUGUGUGAUAAUCAAAGGGGCAAUGAGGCAUGUGUAAUCUCCAUAGUGGGCAUGGGUGGUCUUGGUAAGACCACACUUAGUCAACUUGUGUAUAAUGAUAAGAGACUGGACACACAUUUUGGCCUCAAAUCAUGGGUAUGUGUCUCAGAUGAAUUUGAUCUUUUGAAAAUUAUGAAGGCAAUUCUUAGACAAGUCAGUCCACUGAAUUCCAAAGUGAAGGAUCCAAAUCUGCUUCAAGUUAGAUUGAAGGAGAGUCUUAAUGGAAAGAAAUUUCUACUUGUUCUUGAUGACGUUUGGAAUGAAAACUAUAAUAACUGGGACCUGCUACACACUCCCCUCAAAGCUGGCUUCAAAGGAAGUAAAAUUAUUGUGACUACCCGUAGCGAGAAGGUUGCGCUAAUCAUGCGUGCCACUCGAAUUCAUCAUCUGGGGCAGUUGCCAUUUGAAGAUUGCUGGUCUAUUUUUGCUAAACAUGCAUUUGGAAGUGGAGAUUCUAGUCUACAUCCGAAAUUAGAAGCAAUUGGCAAAGAAAUAGUGGGAAAAUGUAAUGGUUCCCCUUUGGCUGCAAAAAUAUUGGGGGGGAUCUUGUAUUGUAAGGUAGCAGAAGAGGAAUGGGAGAAUAUAUUGAACAGGGAAAUGUGGAAGUUGCCGACUAAUGAAAUUUUUUCCUCUUUAAGAUUGAGCUACUACUAUCUUCCUUCACAUUUAAAGCGUUGUUUUGCUUAUUGUUCAAUUUUUCCUAGGAAUUAUGAAUUCCAAAAGGAGAAGCUGAUUCUUUUGUGGAUGGCAGAAGGGUUUUUGCAAGAACCAAGUAGCAAGAAAAGAGAAGAAGGGGUCUCUAAACUGGAGGAAGUGGGAGAUAAGUACUUUAAUGAACUGUUAUCGAGGUCUUUUUUCCAGAAAUCAAGUAACAAUAGAUCAUGUUUUGUAAUGCAUGACCUCAUGAAUGACUUGGCUCAACUUGUGUCCGGAGAAUUUGGUAUCCGAUUGGAGAAUGAUGAGAGGCAUGAAACUCUUGAAAAGGUCCGUCACUUAUCAUAUUUUAGAACAGAAUGUGAUGCCUUUGGGAGAUUUGAGGCCUUUAACGACAUAAAUUGUCUUCGGACCUUCUUAUCUUUACAAAUUCAAGCUUCUGGAUCAGUCUCCCACUUGAGUAAAAGAGUUUCACAUGAUCUACUACCAACAUUGAGAUGGCUGCGGGUAUUGUCUUUGUGUGAUUAUAAAAUAAUUGAUUUGCCUGAUUCAAUAGGUAAUCUGAAACAUUUACGGUAUCUGGAUCUUUCCAAUUGUAUAUUCCUUAUAAGGUUACCUAAUUCAAUAGGUACCUUGUACAAUUUACAAACAAUGAUAUUAUCAGGAUGCUUUUCUCUCAUUGAAUUGCCUGUGGGGAUGGGCAAAUUGAUUAACUUGCGUCAUCUUGAUAUUACUGAUACCAAAGUAACAAAGAUGCCUGCUGAUAUAGGUCAACUAAAAAGUUUGCAGACACUGAGUACUUUUAUGGUGGGCCAAGGAGAUCGGUCAAGUAUUGGAAAGUUAAGGGAGCUUCCCUAUAUUAGUGGAAAGCUUCAGAUUGCGGGGCUGCAGAAUGUGUUGGGUUUUAGGGAUGCCUUGGAGGCUAAUUUGAAGGACAAGCGGUACCUGGAUGAGUUACUUCUGCAGUGGAAUCACAGUACUGACGGUGUUCUGCAACAUGGAACAGACAUACUUAACAAGUUACAGCCUCAUACAAACUUAAAGAGACUUUCCAUUAAUUGCUUUGGUGGUACAAGAUUUCCAGUUUGGCUUGGAGAUCUUUCAUUCUUCAAUAUUGUUACCCUGCAUCUCUACAAAUGUAAACACUGCCCAUUCUUGCCGCCUCUUGGGCAGCUUCCCUCUCUUCAAGUUCUUGAUAUAAGAGGGAUGAACGGAGUCGAAAGGGUGGGAAGUGAGUUCUAUGGGAAUGAUUAUCUACCAGCUAAGCCUUUCACAUCCCUAGAAACCCUAAGAUUUGAAGAUUUGCCUGAGUGGAAAGAAUGGUUAUCUUUUAGAGGUGAAGGUGGAGAGUUCCCUCGUCUCCAGGAGUUCUACAUAAAGAACUGUCCCAAGCUUACAGGGGACUUGCCAAUCCAGCUCCCUUCCUUGAUAAAACUUGAGAUUGAAGGAUGUAAUCAGCUUCUGGUUUCACUUCCAAGGUUUCCAGCAGUACGCAAAUUGAAGAUGCUCAAAUGUGGCAACGUGCUGUCCCAGAUCCAAUAUUCUGGCUUCACUUCUCUUGAGAGUUUGGUAGUUUCAGACAUCUCACAGUUGAAAGAAUUGCCCCCAGGACUGCGCUGGCUCUCCAUUAAUAAUUGUGAGUCUGUGGAGUCUCCACUCGAGAGAAUGCUGCAAAGCAACACUCAUCUUCAAUAUUUGGAAAUAAAGCAUUGCUCUUUUUCUAGAUUCUUGCAGAGAGGUGGAUUACCCACUACAUUGAAAUCCCUAAGUAUCUAUAACUCUAAGAAACUAGAGUUUCUACUACGGGAGUUUCUGAAAUGCCACCACCCAUUCCUUGAACGGCUGAGCAUUCAUGGUACUUGUAAUUCUCUUUCGUCCUUCUCAUUCGGCUUUUUCCCAAGGUUGACUCAUCUUGAAAUCAGUGAUCUUGAGCGGCUUGAAUCUCUUUCAAUUACAAUUCCAGAGGCGGGUCUCACGUCUCUUCAGUGGAUGUUCAUCCGAGGCUGUACUAAUCUUGUGUCUAUUGGAUUGCCAGCCCUUGACUCGUCAUGCCCUCUACUUGCCAGCUCUCAACAGUCGGUAGGGCACGCUCUCUCAUCUUUGCAGACGUUGACUCUUCAUGAUUGUCCUGAAUUGUUGUUCCCUAGAGAGGGUUUUCCCUCGAACCUACGUUCGCUUGAAAUUCACAACUGCAACAAACUGAGUCCCCAGGAGGAUUGGGGUUUGCAAAGAUACUCCUCUCUUACUCAUUUCAGAAUCAGUGGUGGAUGUGAAGGCUUGGAGACAUUUCCAAAGGAUUGCCUGCUGCCCUCCAAUCUUACCUCUCUCCAAAUCUCGCGUCUUCCAGAUCUCAAGUCUCUUGACAACAAUGGGCUUAAGCACCUUGCUCUUCUUGAAAAUUUAUGGGUAGACUGGUGCCCCAAGCUUCAAUUCUUGGCAGAACAGGGGUUUGAACAUCUUACUUCUCUUAAAGAAUUAAGGAUCAGCGAUUGUGCUAGUCUCCAGUCCUUAACACAAGUAGGUCUUCAGCACCUUAACUGUCUUAGAAGAUUGUGCAUCAGUGGCUGCCAUAAGCUCCAAUGCUUGACAGAAGAGAGGCUUCCUGCAUCCCUCUCUUUUCUAGAAGUAAGAUACUGCCCCUUGCUGAAACGUAGGUGCAAAUUUAGGGAAGGGCAAGAUUGGCACUGUAUAAGCCACAUUCCAUGCAUAGUGAUUGAUGACCAAGCUUUCUAAUGAACUUUAUGCUAGAACGGUUUAGAGCCAGGUACUUGUUCCAUGCUCAAUAAUUCCCUUGAAAAGAAAUUAAUGUGAAAUUGACCAUAAACAGCCAGUCAUAUGGUUGAAAAAUUUUCACUGGUUUUUCACCUUCUUCUCUGUUUUUUCAAGUUUAAAUUAAGGCUAAUUAUUCCUUGAAAAUUCUUGGCUGCCUUUCAGGUCUAUCCCGGCAAAAGUUUAGGCUUCUGGUAAGGAUUUUUCCCCUGUAACCAUUUCAGUUAUCAGUUCUAAGAUGCAUGCAACUUUGUGGAAGAUGAUAACAAAGAUGCACUUAUUACAACUGGUGAUUUGCAAUGCCCAAGGUCAAGUUUGAUCUGGCUAACCACAACCAUUUUAUCCACCUUUCGCACUGAAGGCUAGGAUCUUGCUAACAUGCUCAAAGGACUGCAACCUCGACUCUUUUCAAUAAUUGUGCAUUUCUCUUAUUUCUUUUAUUUUCUUUUCAAAUGGCCUACAAAUUUUUCAUUUGUAUGCGUCAAUCUCUUUCCGAUGCUUCAAAGUGAAGAUUUAACUUUGGAAGUAAUGGUUUUGUAUGCAUCAAAGUGUAGGUCACAUGUUCCAAGACACUUUCAAGAACUUUUAGGAUUUGCCAUUGAAAAUUUGAAAAUCAUUAUAUAGAAUGUUUGGUUUAGAUUUGAGUAUUAUAAAGUGGUAUAUAAACUCUAUUUAAGAAUAUUGGAGGGUUUAUGUAUAAUUGUUAUUUUAUCAAAAAAUUGCUAAAGGGGAAGAUUGUUAGUGUGUUAGGCUAGUUAGUUUAAGUUGAAAAUUUUGUUCUAUACAUUCUUAGAUUCAACUCUACGUACUUCGCUUAGUUUUGCAUUGACCUUGAGGGUACUAAGUCAUUGCUAAUUCAUUUACUAAGUUGUUUAAGUAUGGUUGAGUUGUUUGGAGGAUAAUGACCAAUAUAAGGUAUACCCUGUAACGCUAGAGUGCCAAUAAAGAGUGCUUAAGUGUUCGUGCCUUUUUUAGUGUAGUUCUUAUUUUGAGGAAAUUAAUUUCCAAAUUGGUUUUUGUUAAGUUUUGUUUCCAAAAUACGCUUGGUCCAGUAGGGUUAUUUACCUAUGAAUUCAUCUAUUGGUUAUGCUAUUAUACACUCCUAUCUAUGCCUUAGAGUUUAUUACUAUUAUCUUUGUGCAUUCCUAACACUCUCAAAACUCAAAUCUUGUUUGAGUUUAUUCAUGAUGAUUGAUCGUAUCCUCCUCUAGUUGUUGAGGCUUUCACUAUGGAAAUAAAUGGGAGUUGCAUUGUCGGUGUCAAGGUUAGUGCAGGUGUCAGAAAAUGAAGACGUUGUGAGAAGGUAGAGUUUAGUCUAGGUGAAAUUGUGUACUCAUUCUUUCAUAUUUAGUAAAUUUUUUUUUUGUAGUUAAUUAACCUAUGUUUUACAUGUGUAGAUUUUUUAGGAUACUCUAUAGGUGAUUUUCCACGUAAAUUGUGCAUCUUUUGUGGGAUUGAUUGCACUUGGUCCAUGUAUCACAUACAAAUGCAUGAAAGAAUAGGACUUUAUGUUAUUUGUAUAUUUUAAUUUUGAAUAUUCUCCUUCAAGAAAUGUUAAUUUCUAAUAUCACCUAUUAUAACAAUGAAAACUUCAAUAGCAUGUACUAGUACAAUAAUAUAAAGAUUAAAAUAAAUCCACACAAAAGUACAAAAUGUUUUAGCAUGAUUCUAUGAUGAUCAAAUAGGAGAUGGGAGAUCAAUCCACUAUUUUUAAAAUAGUAGUUAUAGUUAGAUCUAUCAAAUCCCAUAUAGUCAUUACAAGCUCUUCUUAAUGAUCAUAAUCUUUUUCCCUCAUGCCAUGGAAUAUUAUAAGGAUAUUUUUACCAUCUUAUCUUAUUAUAUAAGGAAACUUAUUGUCAUAAGUAAAUAUUAAUCUUUGAGAUAUUCUGUAUGAUAUUUUUUACGAAAAGAAAUAUAUAUUAAAUAGGAAUUUGAGAUACUUUCUGACAAUAGUAAACUUGAACACCGUUGUUGGAGCAACUUUUCUUGAUAAUGAUAUGGAACUAUGUGACAUAUCUAACUGGAGCUAAUAGUUGUCUUAAAAGAGUCAAAUAAUGUCUCCCAUGAGAAGGAAAGUAAAGGUGAAACAAAAAGGACCAAAGGAUGGAUGUGGAGUUGAGUAAUUGUAAUAGAGAGGAAGAAAAAAAAGAGAGUAUGAAUACUUUGUAUUUUUGCUAUAAUACUCGCUUUACUUUGACAUUCUAUCUUCUAUUUGUCUAAGGUUGCUUAAUUAUGAAUUAUGAUUUAACCAUGGUUAGCUUUAGUUUCAUAUAAACCCAUUCAUAGUUUUUAGCAUAUAUAAGUGCUUGGGUUGUAAACAUCCUAUGGUCAUGAAACUUGGCCUCACUCGUUUUCCCUAAUUUAGUUAGUUUAGUGAAAGAGUCAUUUCUUAUUAGGCCUUACCUAGACUGGACCAUUUAUAGUCCUGUUGUCAUACUCAAUCUUUUAGGCUAGUCACAAGUUUCUUGUUUUUGGAGAAAUAGGGUUGAAAUGGAAACACAUAAAAACAAAAGAAGGUAAAAAAAUUAAGGAAACUUAAAAUUUUAUCAUCUUCUACCACUCUCUUAUUCAAUAUUAUAUAAUCUGUUAUUUAUAGUUACUCACAGUUAACAAAAUAGAAACUCUUAAUAAUAAAAUAUAGAAGCCUUCUAAGACUUGAUUACUAAAAAAUAGAAACUAAAAUAACCACUCAAAAUAAAAUAUUCUCAUUGAAUUUUAAAUACUAAAUUUAAUUCUAAUAUUUAGAAAGUUUCCAAAUCAAGUUUAACUUUCAAACAUGCCCCCUUAAACUUGAUUUAUGACUCUAAGUAACGUCCUUAACCUUUUAAAAUCUUCAAACUUUAGAGGCUUGAUAAAAAUAUCCGCAAUUGGAUCUUGAGGUUUUGCAAAUUUUAAUUGCACUUCCUUCUAAUAAUGCACUCUUUAAUAAAAUGAUAUCUUGUAGUGAUGUGUCUGGUUUGAUAAUGGAAAACUCAAUUUUUUGAUAAUGCAAUUGUUGAUUUCUUGUUUACAUAGUGGAUGCCUUGUUAUUUCUUAUGACCUUUACCCACUAAUCUUGCUUUAUAUUUUUUAUUUCUCAUUUUGGAUUCUUUGUUGCCUUGUAUAUUUGUCUUACUCUAAUUACCUUUUUUCUUUUUUGGAAGGGAUUUGAGUGUGUAGUGUUAAGGUUAUGACUUGUCUACAUAGAUGUUAAAUGUAAUUCCAAUUUUAAUUAAGUUUUGAGAAGUUGGAUAUCACUAUGCAUCCAAGUCAAACAGAUUCAUAUGAAUAAAAACCUUAACACUUAAACAACAUUAAGUGCUAAAAGUACAAUACCGUACAAUGUUAAGGUUAUGACAUGCCUGCAUAAGUGUUAAGUGUAGCUUCAAUUUUAAUUAAGUUUUGAGAAGUUGAAUAUUAUUAUGCAUCCAAGUCAAACCAAUUCGCAUAAGUGAAGACCUUAACACUUAAACCGCAUUUAAGUGUUGAAAGUACAAUACCGUGUAGCAUCGAAGUCAUGACUUGUUUGCGUAGGUGUUAAAUAUAAUUCAAGUUUUAAUUAAAUGUUAAAACUUGAAUACCAUUAUGCAUUCAAGUCAAGCCAAGUCGCAUGAGUGAGGAUCUUAACAUUUAAGUCACAUUAAGUGCCAAAAGUAUAACAUUGUGUGACAUCAAAGCCAUGACUUGUUUGCACAAGUGUUAGAUAUAAUUCUGGUUUUAAUUAAAUGUUAAAACUUGGACACUUCUAUGCAUUUGAAUCAAACUAAUUCACAUGGGUGAAAACUUUAGUACAUAAGUGUGGAAAAUACGACAUUGCUUCGCGUUAGGGUUACAACUUGAUUACAUGAGGGUUAACUUUAAAUAUUCAUAUAUUUUUUUUUAUGGAUAUUUAAGUUUAUUAAAAUUUCCUGCUCAAGUGUUGAUUCUUUUUUUUUUUUUUUUAAUAAAAUACUUGAAAGCAAAUUCGUCUUUGUAAAUGAUGAAGAUUGACAUGUGUACAAGAUGGUGAGGGUCCAUUGGGCGACUCCACUAUAACAUAUAUUUAUAUAUAUUAAGGAGUAUUCCAUGUCAUCAUCCUCAUGGCGAGUCGUCCAUAUAAAGUCAUCUUCAUUGUGUGCCAUCCACUUGUCAUGGUGUGGCUCCACUAGUGCUACUCCACGCAUGCUCCCACAUCCCUAUGCUCUAAGGAUGAAAGACUUCUUGAAGUGAGUUCAAGUUGGAUUUUUUAAAUUAUUGUCCUCUUUAUAUAAAAUAUAGGGAAGAUAAAUUGGAAAGGAAAAUGCCUAUGAAAAAAGGAAAGUGGAUGUUCAAAUUAGAAACUUUUCUAUUAACACAAGAUCUUCCUUUGAUACUAAGUGGAAAGAAAGAAGGAAAACAGCAUAGUGUUUGGGAAAAGUGGGAAAGAGAUAUUUUUAAAAUAGAAAACUUCCUAUUAAAAUAUUUCUUUGAAAAAAGAGUAAAUUCAAAGAAAAAUGAAGGCUAAACUUCAAGACCCACCCCAUAGACAUGAUAGGGCAUGCAUGUGAUACGUCUUGAAGUGGAGGCAUUUGUAAACAUCAAAAUUUUUAGUAAAUUAAAUUAUCACUAAAUUGACCUCCAAAAUAAUGGCUUCUAAAUUCAACAAAAUUUAGGCUCAACAAGUGUGGGUCAUACACACAUUCGACAUGUGAUAUAUAUUGAAAAGGUGACAUAUGACAAAAAUUUGGAAGGUUACAAAAUUUGGUCUCACAAAUAAAAUCAAAUAUUCCAAUUGAAGUCAAAAGAAUUUUUUUUUUUUAAAUUCUCUUAUUAGCAAGUUUCCUUAAUGAAGAAGAUAAGUUGUUGAAAUCAAGAAACUAAAUUCUUUGAAUUAAACAACUAAAUCUUGGGGGAUUUCAAAUUUGAUUCCUUAAUUUUACUUAUAAAUAAGGGUAACUUGCUUUAGUGAGGAGACUUCGGAUCAACAAAAUGACUCCACACAGGAAAAGAGGCUUUGUAAAGAAGAAAACGAUUUCACAAUAUCUCCUUACAUGUCCAAGAAAUCACAAAAGAACUACACACAUGUUCCUUGCUUUUCAACAAAGUCAUUCAAUAAUAAGUCACUCUACACCCUCGAUUGGCUUUCAAAAUAAAGAAAACACUUUUGUCAUCUGCUUUUAGAUUAUGAUUAAAGUCAUUCGGGAAUAAGACAUAAUAGGCCCUUGAUUGACUUAAGGCUUCACAAAUUCUCCUUGCAAGUUUGAGAAAUCGUAAAAGAACAACACACGUGUUCUUUAGCUUGCGAUAAAGUCAUUCAAGAAUAAACCACUCUAGGCCGUCGAUUGACUUGCUAAAAAAAAAAAUUGUAAGAAAAUAAUUUUCACUUUUGUUAUGAAAUAGAAUUAGAGAAAUGUCAAAAUUUUAAACUUUGUGAAUGAUAAUACAAAUAUCAAUCAAAAGCUAAAAAGCUAGAAGCUCUUGGGAAAGGUAACCAUAAUAAUGUUAGCUAAUUAGUGUUGUAUUCCUUUCCAGUAGUUCCAUCUCCUUGACUAAUAGCAAAAAAUCAUACCAUGACUUUACUUAUAGUAACUUAGCUUAUGCUAUAUAGAUAUUCUUCCUACAAAAAUAAAUAACAAAAAUCAUAAAUCAUCCAUUGAAAAAAGAAACAAAAUUUCCAAAUCAUCUAUAUCUCUUCAAAUAUUGCUUAUGCCAAAUUGUGAGAAGAUGCAUCCCCUAAGAAGAGAUGUAGAACACUCUAAGCUUUUUCCCACUAGGAGGUUUGUUGGGAUCAUUUCUCCUCUGAAAAACAUAUGUUAAAAUAGUCUUUAUUGGUCAAUAGUUUUUAAAGAUACUCAAAAUCAUUGUAAGAUUUUCUAUAAGUUCUAAUUGUUAACAAGCUUAUCAAAUAGGGACAUGAUGUCAUUAAGCAAUAUCUUAGCUAUAAAGAUAUUUAAUUUGUAAGGAAUUGAGUUUAUUGUUAGUUUCAAUAUCAAUAGAAAUAGACAAGAAUAAUAAUAGGCAUGCUCAUAUAUCUUUAGGUUUUUAAAGUUUCACUUUAAUUUGAAUAAUCAAAUCAAAAACCAUUGAUGUAGGUUAAAUCCUUAAGUUUCUUACUUCAAAAACACCAAGGAUCUUGUCUCAUGAUGCCAAGUCCACACAAGUGCAUGAUUGUGAACCUAACAAUCAAACAAGAGUAGGAGAGAGAAAGAAAGAGGGGUUGCAACUCCUAGGCUUCCACUUAGAGAAUUAUAUCUCUAAACUAAUGCAUAGUGAAGUUUAUUGCAAAAAUUUUAAUCUUGCCAUUAAUGAAUAAACCAGAGCCUACACCUUCAUGGUUCACCCUCAUCUUAUUACUCCUUAUUUAGACACAUGGAUUAAUAGCUUAAGUAAGGACCAUUAGGACUCAUAGAAUAAACUACUAAAUUUUUUCAAAAACACUAUAAUUAAUUUUCAUUCCUAGAAAAUAUUGAUUGUAAUUCAAUAUUUUACGUUAAUUAAAUUAAAGAAAAUAAUCAAUGCUUUGUUAGGACCUGUUAUACUAUUAUAUGUUGUUCCUCAUGAGUUGAUAUCUAUAAUUAAAAUAGGAUGAAGGCAUCUACCUUUUAUAUUACAUCUUAAUUGCUUAAGUUACAAAGUAAGUCAGUCCUCACGACACAUCUUGUUGCCUUUUAAUCCAAUAUUCUAUGAUAAGUAAAUAAAAUAAAAUAAUUAAUGUCUUGUCUAGGGCCUACUAUACUACCAUAUGUUAUUCCCUAUGAAUUGAUACUCGUACCUUUCACAUUACAUCUUAAUUCUUUAAGUUACAAAGUCAACAUUGUCAAGAUAAAGCCCUAGAAAGCAUGAUAUGAUGUAACAAAAUAAGUUUUCAUUAAUAAAUUUAUUUAUUAUAAUUUUUUAUUCCCAUUUAAAUCCCUGGUUGCAUUGAUUAUUAUUUGAGCAUUCAUGCCAAUAUUACUUGCAUUAUACGUGACUUGGAUGCAUUAGGAGUUGUAGAAAAGUUCCAAGUCAUGGGUUCCUUACAAGAUGAUAAGUUGCUCAAUGUCGAUUCAUGGAAUUGUGAAAAACAUAAAAGGUUAUAGUGCACCAUCUCUUAAUUAGAGGAAUGACUUAUCUUAGUCAUCAGGGCGGUUUUUUUUUUUGUCGUGAAUGCACUAAUGUUUAUGGUUACAUAUUAUAUAGGACCUAUGAUGGAUCAUAGUGUUAGCUAUCGCUUAGUCAUGAUUCACUAAGCUACUAUACUACAUGGGCUCUCAACCUUACGAAAAUAUUGAGAGUGUUAAGGUCUUCAGUGACUUUGACCAUUGGGUGAAACCCUAAGGUGGUCAUAUAUUCCCUAUGGAUUAGGUCACUAUUGAUUGUAGCAAGUAGCAACAAACAUUCACAAGAUAGGCAUCAUGAUAUCUCAUGAGAUUAAGAUAAUGUGUCCCUUUAGGUGAUUUUAAGGAUAUAUGAUCAAGAAAACUAUGGUUGUAGUUUUUUCUUAAGCAAAAAUUUGACUUGUACUCUUACAAAGUUAGAGUAUGUCAAUUGGUCAUAAAAUAGGAAGAUUUGAGACUCAAGGUGUGGACCCGCAUUUUUCAUGUGUGUCCCCAUUCAAUGGCGAGACUCGUUUUGUUGGUGAAAAAAUAUUUUUGGAAAAGUCGGAGUCAUCACUUAUUUUAUUUAUUUUAAAAGGGAAAAUAAAACAAUAAAGAAAACCCUAAAGAAGUGACUCCAUAGUUUUGGAAAAGCGUGUCUUUGAAAAACCCAAGUUUAAUUAGGUUCGAAGAUCAAGUUACUUAUUGGGAAGGUACCUCAAAGAGGUAGAACACCUCUAAGCCCUAAAGAUGUCACUACUGGCUAAGUUGAGGGAAAUGUGGCAAUUAAUCAAUUGAUUGAAGGUACCUAGGUAGAGUAAGGCGAUUUCAAGAUUAUAUUAAUACUAGCAUGCCAAAUAAGAAAUCAAAUCACAAUCAUAAAGGAGAGUUACGGUGUGUACCUGCACUACUUCUCAAGCAUUAUCAUAAGAAAAUCAAAGUUAGUUUGAAUAGUAUAUCACUCAGCAUGCAUUUCAUUAGAGAUAAUAAAAACAAGUGUCAAGGCAGUCAAUGAUAGCAUUCAAACAUGGAUAUAGCUCAUGAUAACAUGCAUAUUCAUAGAAUUUUGGAAUUGGAGGAUAGAGAGAGCGUACCUGGUUAGCAAGCAUCAAUGCCUUUAUGGAAAACAAGGUUAGCUCAACAAUAAAUAUAAAACAAAUUCAUGUAUAUCAUCAAAAGGAAUCAAAAUCAAUCAAUCACCAAACAAUUAUCUCACUUGAAUCGAUAUCAAAGACGAUGUCAAGAAUGUUGGACCCUCCACCUAGGUCCAAAUUACUUUUGCAUGAAUUGGUUUAAUGAAUUCCAUUAUUUGGAACCAUGAAUUUUGCUCAUUCUUGUUAAAAACCAAGAAAAUCAUGAAGAUUAUCAAGAAAAUGCACACCAGAAGGAAAUUUGGCAACAAAAGUUGAUUGAAAAUGAGGAUUUUAUUGCCUAGAAAAAGUCUAAAGAUGGAUUUUUAAAACUGGAAUUAUUAAGUUGAAAAUGGAUUUGAAAAAUCAAUUCAAAAUUGUAAAUUCUCAAUCAAAGAAACAAAAAGAGGAAGAGGUGUGCACCAAGGUGGCCAUGAUGGAGUGAGAUCUAGGGUAGGUAGGCAUAUGCAUUUUUGAAUCAGAUUCUCUGUACUACUACUCAUUUUCCAAGAGUCUGUAAGUUGCUUCACCUAUAUCCACAUGCAACAAAUGAGUGUUACAGUUUUCUUGUUUCCCAACUCUCACCCCUUUAUGCACUCCAAUUCAAGAUUCUCCUCCCUGCACUUUAAUCUCUAUCUCUGCUGAAUCCCAACAAUAAAAACAUUCUUCAAAAAUAAACUUGACAGUCUUCCUCCGAGAACUCAAGUUUUUAUUGUGUUUAAUAAUCUUUUUUAGCAAAUCCUCAUAGCUAGCAUUAGUUCCUACCUUUAGGAUGCAAUAUGUGUCCUUGUCCUUAGCCAUAAGGAUUUUCGCAUUUAUUCUCAUAAUAGUUAAGCUUUGAUCAAUGCUAUGUGCAUGGAACCAAUAUGUUAUUUCCAGCAAAAAGUGCCACUGUGUUGUCUUUCUAGUUUCCUUUUUGGGGGACCUUGGACCCAAAGAGUGAGAAUCCAUCGGAUUCUAAAAGAAUGACUCGCAAACCCUCAAGCUAAGACUUUGAGUAUUCAUUCUGAAAACUAAGUCCCGUAACCAUCUGUACGAGUUGGUCAUGAGUAGUAUCAACAUGUGGCUUGGCCUCAAACAACUCAUUCUCUUUGGCAUGAUUUUCAUGUUCCGGGACCAUGAUUUUGCUCGAGCGCCCUAAAAUCGCUAACAUCAUUAACAUUGCCUCUCAUUUUUAGCUUUUAUUAAGUUUUGGUGCGCCUUUGAGUAGGAAUCAAUAGCCUCGUAUAAGCCAUCAUGAAUUGAUCUUGCUGACUCGGGAGUUGACUGUACACUCUUGUCGAAACUAGAAAGACUAUUUGAAGCAUUCUGCGUGAGGAAGACUCCAUCCACUGAGUCCACAACCGAUCCCUUUUCAUUUGGAAAAGCUAAUGAUUGUAUCGACAGAAGGCAUGUGUUCCCAUAUUGGUUCUAGAGAAUCUCAUUGGCUGUAGUUUCAGCCUGAAAUAGAGAAUGGCUAUAGAAAGAAAAAAUGGAAGAGUAACACUUGGGAACAGAGGAGUUAAAACAGUACACAAAAAAAUAGUGGACCCUUUUUCUUUCACUUUGUAUUCUCGGUUUUGUUGUUUUUUUUGUACAGUAUCUAGAUUUCAAACCAGAUGCAAAGAGAUUUAAGUUGAGCAAAUCUCUCCAUGUGGAAGCAUGACAACCACUCAAAACAUAAAACAACAAAGUUAUUUUUACAUAUAUAACCUAACACAACAUACACACAUUAUGUUACAUUCUUCCCCCUAAUGUGAUGUUCCUCUACACCCAAAAGCUUUCAGAAGUGAACAAGCUUCUCCAAAGGCAAUGCUUUAGUGAAGAUAUUAGCAACCCGCUCCUCUGAUUUAUAGUACAUCAAUUGAACCUCCCCAUCUGAAAUAGCUUCUUUAAUAAAAUGAUACUUCACUGCAAUAUGCCUUUCUUCUAUGAAAAACAUAGUUGUUUACAAUGGCUAUAGUAGAUUUGUUGUCACAAAGUAGAUAUGUUGCUUCAUUUUGCUUUUCCUUGAUGUCUUCUAAAAUUUUUCUCAACUAUAUGGCUUGAGAAGUUGCCAAUGAAGCAGAAAUGUACUCUGCUUCAGUAGAGGAUUGAGCCACUAAACCUUGCUUUUUGACACCCAAGAUAUAACACCUGAACCAAGAGAGCAUGCAUAGCCUGAUGUGCUUUUCAUGUCAUCAAUACAACCACCCCAAUCAUUAUCAUAAUGGCUAAUUAGCUUCACUUCAAUAUUCCUGAAAUAUUUUAUUCCAAGUUCAACCGUGCCUUGCAAAUAUCUCAAGACUCUUUUUGCUGCUCCAAGAUGUAAAUGACUAAGAUAGUGCAUGAAUCUUGAAAGCAAGCUUGCUGCAAACAUGAUAUUAGGUCUAGUUGCAGUGAGAUACAACAGAUUUCCAACAAGACUUCUAAAGUGAGUUUCAUCAACCAUCUUCCCUCCAUCUUCUUUCUUCAACUUUUCAUUCAUAACUAAAGGAGUAGAUACAGGAUUGCAACCAGCCAUGCCAAACUUUUUAGGAUAUGUUCAACAUACCUCUUUUGGCAAAUAAACACACCAUCUUUUUCUUGAUAUACUUCAAUUCCCAAAAAAUAAUGCAACAAUCCCAUAUCACUCAUUUCAUAUUUUUUCAUCAUUUAAUUUCUAAAUUUUUCAACCAUCUUCUUAUCAUUUCCAGUAAAAAUCAAAUCAUCAACAUAAAGAGCAACAAUAAGGAUUUGGGAAUUAUCUUUGCUCUUCACAUAGAGGGUAGGCUCACUCUUGCUUCUAAUGAAACCAUUUUCAAUGAAGUAGUUGUCAAUUUGAGUGUACCAAGCAUAGGGAGCUUGUUUCAAACCAUAUAAGGCUUUCUUCAACUUGUAAGCUUUGUUUUCUUCCCUAUCAACAACAAAGCCUUAAGGUUGUUCAACAUAGAUCUCUUCUUCCAACUUUCCAUUCAAAAAUGUAGAUUUUAUGUCAAGUUGGUACAACAACCAACCUUUUUGAGUAGCCACUGGAAUAAUAGUUCUAAUAGUAUCAAGGCGAGUAACUGGAGCAAAAGUCUCAUGGAAAUCAACACCUGGCUGUUGUGAAUAGCCUUUUGCAACCAACCUAGCUUUAAGCCUUUGAACUCUACCAUGAAAAUGGUAUUUCACCCUAUAAAUCCAUUUUACCCCAAUGAUUUCUUUGUCUUUUAGCUUUUCAACCAGCUGCCAUGUUCCAUUUUUCUCAAUAACAUCAAUUUCUUUUUCCAUUGCUUUCCUCCAAUCUUCAUCUUUUAUUGCCUCUUCGAAACUUUGAGGUUCAACAAUGCACAAAUUGCAUCUCUCAUAAACAUCACUCUAACUUCUUAUUUUUCUUGGAGUUGAGGAUGGUGAUGAUUAAUUGAAGUUGGAGACUCCGUUGAGGGAGAUAAUGGAACGAACUAAUCUUGGGGAGUCUUGAGGUAAUGAAGUUGAAGUGUUGCAUUUUCCAGUUUUAGCAGGUGUUUUUGUUUGAAGUUCAUCAACAAGAAUUGCUUUCUUUUGAAUUUUACCUUCUUCCCAAUUCCAAGCAGCUUUUUCAUAAAAAAUAACAUCUCUACUUAUGAUCAGCUUGUUGGUUUUCAAAUUAUACAACCUAUAACCCUUUGACUGUGAACUAUAACCCAUGAAGAUGCACUUUUCACUUGCUUCAUCCAGCUUACUCCUUCUUUCCUUUGGCACUUGUGAAUAACAUAAGCACCCAAACACUUUGAAGUGUCUAACAGAUGGCUUUCUUCCACUCCAAGCUUCAAUAAGAGUUUUAUUUAAUAAUUCUUUUGUUGGGCAUCUAUUCAAAAGAUACACAAUAGUGUUAACUGCUUUAGCCUAAAAAUUUUUAAGCAAGCCAUUCUCAUGUAAGAUAGCUUUAGCCAUUUCCAUAACUAUUUGAUUCUUCCUUUCAACUACUCCAUUUUGUUGAGGAGUAUAUGCAAUAGUAAGUUGUCUUUCAACCCCUUCAUCUUCACAAAAAUUACCAAAUUGGCUUGAAGUAUAUUCCAUUCCUUUGUCACUUCUCAAGGUCUUUAUGUAGCAAUCACUUUGCUUUUCAACAAAACUCUUGAAUUUUUUGAAGAUAGAAAACACUUCUGAUUUUUGCUUCAUGAAGAACACCCAAGUCAUUCUUGUAAAAUCAUCAAUAAACAAUACACAGUACUUGUUGUUGCCUUGAGAAGGUGUAGACAUAGGCCCACAUAUAUCAGUGUGAAAUAACUCCAAUACCUUCUUUGCUCUCCAAGCGACUCUUUUUCGAAAUGAUUGUCUAUGAUGCUUCUAAAGAGCACAACCGUCACAUAAUUCAUUCUUUUCUUCAAUGGUGUUAGGCAAUCCUUGUACCAUCUUCCUUUGACAAAGCAUUUUCAAGCUAUUGAAGUUCAAGUACCCAAAUCUUCUAUGCCACAACCAAGCUUCUUCAACAUCUUCCAUUCUCAAAGCCACAUUUUCAGCAUAUUUGAAGACAAUUGGAAAGCUUAUAUUUUUCUCUAUCUUUAUCAUCUUCAUUAAAUUUCUUCUCUACUCCUUAUCAUAAAUGGUGCACUCAUUAUCUUCAAAGUGAAGUUUAUACCCAUGCUCUACUAGCUGUCCCACACACAACAAAUUUUGCUCCAAGGCUGGUACAAGAAGAACAUCUCUGAUGUACUUGUUUCCCACUUUAGUUUGGAUGCCAAUUGUGCCUUUCCCUUUAACAUUCACUAAAUCACCAUUACCUAUUUU